AUGAACCUCGGUAAAAUUCAACACAUGUUUUUAUUAUCAUUAAGUAAGAAUUAAACUGAUUAGGUUAUGCUGUUUAUCCUGUUUAUGAUCCAUGAUUCCAGACAAUUUUGGAUGGCAGCACUGACAAGACACACAAGAUCGCAAAAGUUAGGUUCUACUAAAUGCAAUAUCUGGCCCUUAAAAUGGGAAAUUCAUUAUUCUCUUCGAGUAUCCUUUUUCAUGGAUGAAAUGUAUAGCUGGUUCUUCAUCACUCAAACUAAUUAAUCACAACCAUGUUGUUGACAUUUAAUAAGAGGUUCUUUUUUGCAAUCCUUAUCCCAAGUCCCGCUUGUAUGUUUUGACAAGAACGGAAAAGUAGUUAAAACUUGUAGCUAGUUAAAAUGUGUAGCUCGGAU